rnacentral:rRNA from 1 species
GACAGAGGUGCCAAGCGUUAGGCGGAAUCACUGGGCUUAAAGCGUGUGUAGGCGGAUGCCUAAGUACCUUGUGAAAUCCCACGGCUCACCCGUGGAACUGCUGGGUAUACUGGGUGUCUUGAGCCAACUAGGGGUCGCCGGAACAAGUGGUGGAGCGGUGAAAUGCGUAGAUAUCAUUUGGAACGCCAAUGGUGAAAACAGGUAGCUGGGGGUGUGCUGACGCUGAGACACGAAAGCCAGGGGAGCAAACGGG